rnacentral:tRNA from 1 species
AAUACUAAGCCGGAUUAUACGGGUAACAUUGAUGUUGUUAAAUAUGAAUAUAUAAAUUCUAGUAUUU